GUACGCUGGUGUAGAAAAAUGUUUUAGCUUCAUCAUACCGUGAGGCAAAAAACGAAUAAGUUCUGUUCUCUUUAGAUAUUUGUGUUGUGACAAGUGUACUUUUAUACUAAAUAUCCGUACAUGUUUGAAAAAUAUAGGAAAGAUAAGUGUUGAAAUAUCCAAAUGCAGAAGUUUUAUUUGGUUAUUGUUACUGCACAUUAUUGUAAUAACGGGAAAAAUGCCACGUCAUCGUGGAAGAGCGCGAAAUAUUGGUAGAAGUACCCCGAACGCGUAAUUGGGCCAUGAGCAUCGAUUUAAUAGAUCAGUCGAAGAACAAUAGGCGAAUAAUAUAAAUUUAAGAAAUCAAGUUGCACUCGGGCAAAUGAAAACUCAGGGCAACCCACUCAACGACUUCGUGCUAAUAAUUUAAGGCAACGAGGGGCACGUCAACAAGCGACCAAAACACAUAGAGAACAUAACCAACGGCGUAUGUAGAAUAAUCGAGCAUUGGCACGAGCAUCACUUAAUCGUUUCUAGUUUGAAUAUGAUCCUGAAAUAAACGAUUCGUUACAUCCAUUCAUCACGAUCGGUAGUAUGGACCUUUGUCCAUGUAAUAGAUUGUCAUGCUUUUAAGAACAAAGGAGAAUCAACUGGUUUAUGUUGCGCAUCUGGGAAAAUUUCAUUGCCACCGCUCAAUAUACCACUGGAGCCUUUAAAACACUUUUAGCUCGAACCACAUAUCAAUCGAAAUUGUUUUUGUGGAAAUUCAAUUCAUGCUUCCAAAUGACGUCAUUUGGAGCAACACAAUUGUUCAUUAUGAAGAUGGUCGGAAUUUUGAAUCUACAUUCAAGAUUCAAGGUCAAGAGUUCCAUCGAAUCAGUUCAUUGCUUGUCUGAUGCCGAUCCAAAAUUUUUACAAAUUUACACACGCUGCUCUUACAACCAUAUAGAGCAGAUGUAGGAAUGAGAAAUUGUGGACAUUUUGGAAAGGUUUUUGAUUGUUCAAGACCCUUUCUAACAGACUGCAAAAUGACAAAUAUGUCAUUGUCAGUAAAGCAGACGAAGUGCCCUAUGGAAAGCACGCAGUGAUAUACUAUAUAAUGCUCCAACAGUUAAUGAAGUCGCAGUUGUUAUGGCUGUGGACUCAUGCGAACGUCGAGACAUGCGCAUAGAACGCAGAGAUAAUACGAUGCAAAUAAUUUAAGACAAUCAUGGUUCUUGCGAUGCUUUGUGGUAUCCGUUGAUAUUUUGGGAAGGAGAAGAUGGAUAUAAUUUAAAUAUAAUAUUAAACAAAGGAAUGCAACUACAGGCACAACUUAUAGAUUAUCCUACAAUACUUUUAAGUCAAUAAUUUCUGUUUAUCUCAUAAAUACAUUUAUUUGCAGGUGAAGAACUAAUGAAUACAGCCAGUGGAUAUGUAGUAACGUAUGCCACUAAUUGCUGCCCAAAUGUGCACAGAAGAGUUCUAACCACUUUAACUCAUCUUUAAUAAAAAUGCACACGGCCUAAAAUAUACAAUCAUUUAACGUUUAUUUCUAGUAUAAAUUUAUAUUUUACAAAAUUCGUUAUUAUAAAUCUCGACGGAAUAUGCGAUGAGACUUCACUUCCGAGAAAGAUUUUCCGAUGCUGCUGAUCGAGAAGCUGCGGGUCUAGGUCGCAUUGGAUAAUCGCGUUAGAGGCGUUGGAUGUUGACGCGGCAGUGUAUGAGCGAACAAAAAGUAUCUGCUUUCUCCUUGUCCAUCCUUUUUGAUGAGUGAGUAUAUACAUAUGGGUGCGCCAGUUUUCCCGGGUAGAGUAGGUUGACGCUUAACUCAUUUAAACAACUAGUAUACUUACUUGGUAUAGUAUACUUAUGAGAUUGAAAAAUAAAAAGAACUGAUUUUCACACUCGUUAGAAAUUUAUUAAAUUAAAUUACACAAUAUAUAUGUGUAUAUAAUAUAUGUAUAUUUUUUGGGUUCCUGCGAAACCCACUGCUGCACACUGUUGGCGAACUCGGUGAUAGACUUCACUCUCGUUACUUGGCGGUUUUAAUAAAUAGGGAAAUUGCGUGGGUUGCUGCACAUGAAGAAAGCUAAAUAUCACGGACGACUGCUUUGCGUUACGGAUGAAACGGUCAAACAUCGCUGCGUCACCGUGCUUCUCUCACCAUCAAUUAUAUGAUGCAUGUUCCAGAUUUAGAAAACCAUCAAAUUUGUUUGUUUACACGACUCAAGGAUUGUCACCGCUUAUUGAAAAAAGUUUGAAAUUUUCGGAUUAAUGAAAUAUGGCAACUUUUCUCGUGCACAGCUGUGCUUUCGUGCUCUUAGAAAUUUGUUUAAUUUAUAUAAUACUAGAGGACGCAUCCAAGCUUCACUGUGGCUGAUAUAUAGAUAAUGCUACAACUACCAUCUAUAUGAUUUCUAUUGGUUGGAUUAUAACUACGGAGGCUACUAUAUAUAUUUCUGUGUUUAGUUUUUAAGAACUUUUUAUUUUUGUAAAAAUUUGUUUUUUU